UUCCUCGUGGCCCAAUGGUCACGGCGUCUGGCUACGAACCAGAAGAUUCCAGGUUCAAGUCCUGGCGGGGAAGAUUUUUGAA
rnacentral:tRNA from 1 species